rnacentral:rRNA from 1 species
CACGGGGGGAGCAAGCGUUGUUCGGAAUCACUGGGCGUAAAGGGCGUGUAGGCGGUCAGGUAAGUGAGAUGUGAAACGCCCCGGCUCACCCGGGGACCUGCAUCUCAAACUGCCUGGCUUGAGUAUGGGAGAGGAUGAGGGAAUUCCUGGUGUAGCGGUGAAAUGCGUAGAUAUCAGGAGGAACACCGGUGGCGAAAGCGCUCAUCUGGCCCAAUACUGACGCUGAGGCGCGAAAGCUAGGGGAGCAAACGGG